ensembl:lncRNA
CCGCUAUCCCUAAAGGAUAUCCCGACUAGCCCGCUAUCUCUGAAAGAUAUCCCGACUAGCCCGCUAUCCCUAAAGAAUAUCCCGACUAGCCCGCUAUCCCUAAAGGAUAUCCUGACUAGCCCGCUAUCCCUAAAGAAUAUCCUGACUAGCCCGCUAUCCCUAAAGAAUAUCCCGACUAGCCCGCUAUCUCUAAAGGAUAUCCCAAAACAGAGAGAAUGCAUGUUGGUCCCUAUCUCAGGCAGUGAGCUGAGCCUUGUCUGUUAUUUUAGACGUAUCCUCCAACCAGAGCCAAGUUUACCGAGGUGUUGCGGUCUAUUUUGAGCUGUAACACAACACGGUCCAAACAGCUGCUGUCCCUGACCGCCUCCUGACCGCCUCCUGAUUCAAGUUUGAAUUUCCCCUUGUCAGCAUGAUGGAAUGGAUGGCACCCAACGGAAUACCAAGCACCCAGCGACUCCCUGCUGAACCGAAUCACUUAUAUACAUGUAAAAGCUGAAUUGCAGUGACUGUUGGGUGAAUCGUUUUGGAAAUAAUUGACUCCUUGAUAGCUGAUUAUUGAUAUCGGGGCUCUUCCAGGAACCUGGCAUUGCAGCUGGUGUAGCAAAGGUCAUAGACACACACACACACACACACACACACACACAAGCCCAUGCAUACACACACACACACACACACACACACACACACACACACACACACACACACACACACACACACACACACACACACACACACACACACACACACACACGCACACAUGUACACACACACAAUCUCUCUCUAUCACUCUCUUUCUAUUUCUGUAUCACACACAUCCUUACACAGGGCAGCUCUGUUGGAUGACACUCGUCCCUGGGUCCUGUCCAAAGGUGUGACCGGGCCAAGCUGGAGAGGGCUGGGCCACGAGCCUAAUUGAUCUUGGCCCAAUCACAACACACCACACUCACACUGAGAGGCUGCCCAAAAUAAACACACACACACACACGUUGGGCUCUAAUUCAAUCCACAUCGCGGAAGUUCAGCUUUACAACGUGAUUGAAAUUUAAAGGCAAUGUUCCCGCUUUAGUGGAGACUGCAUUCACAAUAAACACUGAAUAUGUAGACUCAGUCGGAAAUUACCAUUAAGUUUCUAUUGAAUCUGUCAAGAUUGAAUAGAGCCCUUUUGUCACGUUCUGACCUUAGUUCCUUUGUGAUGUCUUUGUUUUAGUAUGGUCAGGGCGUGAGUUGGGUGGGCAGUCUAUGUUCUCUUUUCUAUGAUUUGGUAUUUCUGUGUUUGGCCUGGUAUGGUUCUCAAUCAGAGGCAGAUGUCAAUCGUUGUCCCUGAUUGAGAACUAUACUUAGGCAGCCUGUUUUCACCCUUGAGUUGUGGGUGAUUAUACUUUCUGUUUAGUGUGUUUUGCACCUGACGGAGCUGUGUCGGUUGUGUUUUUUUGUUUGAUGUUGUUCAGUUAAAAUAAAUAAGAUGAACAAGUACCACGCUGUGCUUUGGUCCUCCGAUCCUUCCUACUCCUCCUCGUCAGAGGAAGAAGAAGACCGUUACACCUUUACCUCUCUAUAAUUGAGUCGAUUAGUAUAUAAUAUAUUUAAUAUAUUUCUCCAAGGAGGCAAUUUCCCGGUCACAUUGUUUGGACAAACUCCCCAAUGUGUCCUGUUUAAGAAUUACUAAUCUACUCUGGGUCCUGUCUAUGAAUGACUAAUCUCGGCACCCAGAACCAAAUCAACUAUUCCAAUUUCAAUGUUUCAAUGUUAAUGCUGUGUCAUGACUCUCCUGUGAAGAUCUGAAGGAUCAGGUUACAGUGGGUCCGCUUUAGAGCGUGCUCUCUCGUAGAGGGGGAGAGUGGGAAGUCGGCUGUUUUAUGACGGUCGUAAAUACCGAAACUCCUUUCCCCACUGCCAAAAGGAAAGUUGAAAAUCCCUUUGUUACCACAGAGAAAGACUUUGCAGUACGAUAACCUCAAAAGGUUUUCUAAUGUAACAAUAUUUCUGUAUUCCAACCAGUUGGAAUGGUCCGUGGGUAUUUAAACAAUAAUCAUGUCCAACAUUUACUGUGUGACGUUAUAACGGAAACAUUGUAACUUUAAGAGCUUUCACAAUGUAUUUCUCAGAUUUGCAUCUUGCAUGUUGUGAAACUACUUCUCACAAAUAUAAAGAUGAAAUGUAUUUUAGCCUCCAAAAUGAGAAUUGUCUUUCAUGUAAAGUUUUUCCCAGUCAGUAACCACGGCUACGCGAGCACAUUGGGAAAAAAGGGAUGGAACCGCCAUCUAAGGCGAGUGCUUAUAAAGGACUCCUGACAACAUUUACACUAGUUAAAAACGCAGGCACAGGAGUUCCCACGUUGAAAUGGCUAAACUCUGAAACUAUCGAUCACUACUGAAGAAGUAAAUCCUAGACCGUAACCUUUAUCAGUCCGCAGCUGAAAAUAUACGUAUGUCUAGGACGAGAAUACAGACAAUGGCGGGAGCAUCUACUCUAAGAGAACAACUCUAAGAACUACAGGGUACGUUGACGUAUACAUUAUAACAUAGCUACAAAGGACACAGUGACCAGAGUUAAACAACCAGAGACUCUCUGAUGAACUAAUAUCCAGCAGACGGACCGGCGAUUGCAGAGUGGGACAGCAAGUCCUACACUCGUAAAUAUUUAAAUUGCCAUUUAUUUUCGAAUGAGGGGUUGUUCAUGUUCAAGGCAAUUUCUAUGAGUGUAGUUAUCAGCACUGAGUUUCCCACUCUUGAGCUGUCCCACCCCUUUCCUUUGUCUACCAAGCCGUCAUAUCGGCUUAGCCCACUAGGGACUUUUCUAUCAUGUCAGUAACCAAUGUAUGACCAAUUGUGUGUGUUUUUAUGUAAUUCUGUGAUUGAUUAGUUAGUAAAUAAAAUAAUUAAGCCAAUUUGUAUAUGGCUGAUUCCUGAUUUAUGUUAGGGUUCGUGCAGAUAUCCAAGGGUGUGCAACGUUCAGUAAUGAGACUGAUGAGGUAAUAAUACAUUAAUAAGUGACUGUAAACGAUAAGAUGUGAAAAUAUCGGAAGAGUUAAUUCGGGAAAUAAAUACUCUUUAAACAUUUUCCUGUGGUGCCCCUACUUCCUCGUUAAUUAAAGUGACAUGAUUUGUUUAAUCGUGUUAUUAAAUGACACAUAGAGAAUUGAUUUGGGAAUAUACAGUCUUCACAUUUAAUGAUAGUCAACGCUAUGACAGCUGUCACAAGAGCCUAGUGAAUGAUUGGCUCAUUACAUAGAGUCUGAACCGACGGAGUGAAAUCUAGUCUAGCCAGGGGAAAGAUCAUCCAGUCUGUCUGAGCUCAGACAAUGGAGAGGAGGAGGGGUCUGUCCUCAGUUUAACACGUCAAGGGGAAACCAUCUGUGGGAAUUCUGCCGGAGCAACCGCUUUAUCAAAACACAAGGACAAG